rnacentral:rRNA from 1 species
AACGAACGCUGGCGGCAGGCUUAACACAUGCAAGUCGAACGGAUGUAGCAAUACAGUAGUGGCGCACGGGUGAGUAACGCGUGGGAACGUACCUUCAGGUAAGGAACAACUCAGGGAAACUUGAGUUAAUACCUUAUAAUAUCUCCGGAUCAAAGAUUUAUCGCCUGAAGAUCGGCCCGCGUCUGAUUAGCUAGUUGGUGGGGUAAUGGCCUACCAAGGCAACGAUCAGUAGCUGGUCUGAGAGGAUGGCCAGCCAAACUGGAACUGAGACACGGUCCAGACUCCUACGGGAGGCAGCAGUGGGGAAUAUUGGACAAUGGGCGCAAGCCUGAUCCAGCCAUGCCGCGUGAGUGAUGAAGGCCUUAGGGUUGUAAAGCUCUUUCGGCGCAGAAUAUAAUGAACGUAUGCGCAGAAGAAGCCCCGGCUAAAUUCGUGCCAGCCGCCGCCGUAA